rnacentral:lncRNA from 1 species
AUCUCUAGCUGAGGAUACCCCUAUGUCAUCUUUAGAAGAGGACAUCCACCUCAUCCUCAGAUGAGGACACUUCUACGUCAUCUCCAGAUGAGGACAUUUUCACCUUAUCCCCAGUCGAGGAUACUUCUAUCUCAUCUCCAAUCGAGGACACUUUCAUCUUAUCUCCAGUUGAGAAUACUUUCACCUAAUCUCCUGUCGAGGAUCCUUUCAUCUCAUCUCUAU